rnacentral:rRNA from 1 species
UACAGAGGUGGCAAGCGUUGUUCGGAAUUACUGGGCGUAAAGGGCGCGUAGGCGGCCCGUCAAGUCCCGUGUGAAAGCCCCCGGCUCAACCGGGGAACGGCGCGGGAAACUAGCAGGCUUGAGUUCGGGAGAGGGAAGCGGAAUUCCGGGUGUAGCGGUGAAAUGCGCAGAUAUCCGGAGGAACACCGGUGGCGAAGGCGGCUUCCUGGACCGACACUGACGCUGAGGCGCGAAGCUAGGGGAGCAAACGGG